rnacentral:rRNA from 1 species
CCUACGGGGGGCAGCAGUGAGGAAUAUUGGUCAAUGGACGAGAGUCUGAACCAGCCAAGUAGCGUGAAGGAUGACUGCCCUAUGGGUUGUAAACUUCUUUUAUAUAGGAAUAAACUGUUCCACGUGUGGGUUUUUGUAUGUACCAUAUGAAUAAGGAUCGGCUAACUCCGUGCCAGCAGCCGCGGUAAUACGGAGGAUCCGAGCGUUAUCCGGAUUUAUUGGGUUUAAAGGGAGCGUAGGUGGAUUGUUAAGUCAGUUGUGAAAGUUUGCGGCUCAACCGUAAAAUUGCAGUUGAUACUGGCAGUCUUGAGUACAGUAGAGGUAGGCGGAAUUCGUGGUGUAGCGGUGAAAUGCUUAGAUAUCACGAAGAACUCCGAUUGCGAAGGCAGCUCACUGGACUGCAACUGACAUUGAUGCUCGAAAGUGUGGGUAUCAAACAGGAUUAGAUACCCUAGUAGUC